CUUCAAAUGCAGCUACAGCCACAGUUGUUACCACCUCCAAUUAGAGACUCCGGCGGUUGUUCUUUCACUCAGUGGUUUAUUAAAUACAGGCCUUAAUUUGAAAAUUUACGAGGCACACUGCUCUCGCUCAGGAUGAUGCUUUAGGAACUGGGCCACGUACGUCAUGAUGGAUUUCUCGUCUGGCUUGUCCACGUCCACGUCUGACAAGUGAUGCCAGGGGAAUGUAAUCAGACAUCAAGCUGGCUGCACACUCACCGCGGAGGAAGCGGUAGAAGCCGGUCACCAGGUUGAAUGAUGCCUUCUUUUUCGGGGAGGCGUCGCCCCCCGCUCGUCUUGCCAUGUCGUACCCCGGAACGCGCCUCUGUUCCCACCUGCUCUCAUGGGGGCGUCGGGAGGACAUCCAAAAAAGAAACGAGAAGGAGAGGGAGGGGGGCUACACUUUGCCCUUGUGCCUGCCCUUGCUGCAACCUCUAGAUUGCCCUGUUUUGUGAGAACUGUUGCUUUGAGGCUGUUCUUCUUAAGAUUCUUCUCCUCAGUGUCCUCAUGUCCUGCAGUAACAGUCAAGCCUUUUUCCUGCCUGCUAAGCAGCUCAGGAGUGUGAAAAAGUGUGUGUGUGUGGGAGAGAGAGAGAGAGUGUGUGUGUGUGUGUGUGUGUGUGUGUGUGUGUGUGUGUGUGUGUGUGAGUGCAGCGCAGCGCAGCGCCGGCUUGCCUCAGCAUCAAUCUUUCUUGCUUAGUGCCCCUCUCUCUCUCUCUCUAUCAAGCACACUCACUAACACCUCAGCCCCUCCCUCCUAAUUUCCUACUGUAGGCUUGUGGGUACCAAGCCUCCCUCCACUUGCCAGCCAAUCAGAGGGCACGGGAACGUGUGAUGUCACAGAGCGGAGCAUUUUGGUGGCGUUGAGGGACACCGUUCACGCAGGCCGGGAUGGGAUGAAGUGGGAGCUCUCCUGCUACACUAACAUCGCUCACAAUGGCGGCAAAGCGCAUGCAGGAUUUCCCCGGGAGCUCCGGGUGCUCGCAAAUACACGCCGUCUCGUCUUGCUCUCUCAUCCGAGCAGACGGCAUGCUGCGCUACCAGGCUGCCAACUUUCUUCUGCACACAGCUUGCAGCAGACGAUCACUGUGACACUUCUCCUGUCUCAUCCUCUGCUCGACAAAACAACUCACUUCCAGAACAAAAGACAGCGGAUAUACAGCGGAUGCUCAAAGAA